rnacentral:lncRNA from 1 species
UAAAAGCUGCAAAGAGAUUCCAAGCCCUGCAUUCUCGUGGAAUUUUGGGGUUCAGUGAUUUUUCCAGGAUUUUUUGUGGGUUUUUGGAGGAUUUUCCCGGGUUAUUUUUCCCCGGCCUCCUGCACAAGUGAGGGGUCACCACCUGAUUUUGCGGCAAUCAAAUGAUACCGAGUUAUUAAUCACCACUAACGAGCUCCUCCCGGGGCUGCCUUUCCUCCCUCUUCCCAUUUUUCCCGGUUUGGAGAGAGAGAGAGGGAGAGGGAGAAUCUUUCUGGCCGUGAAAGAGCCAGGGAAGCACUUCCAGGGUCAGAAUCCCGGGUCAGAAUCCCGGGUCAGGAUCCCGGGUCAGAAUUCCAGGGUCAGAAUUCCAGGUCAGGAUCCCGGGUUGGAAUCCCAGGUCAGAAUUCCAGGUCGGAAUCCCAGGUCAGGAUCCCGGGUUGGAAUCCCAGGUCAGAAUUCCAGGUCAGAAUCCCAGGUCAGAAUCCCAGGUCAGAAUCCUGGGUCAAAAUUCCAGGUCAGAAUCCCAGGUCAGGAUCCCAGGUUGGAAUCCCAGGUCAGAAUCCUGAGUCAGAAUUCCAGGUCAGAAUCCCAGCUCAGAAUCCCACCUCAGAAUCCCAACCUUCCCCUCUCAGCUCCCAAAUCCCGGAUUUCAGGCCCCUUUUUCAUCCCAUCACACACAAAAAAACCCCAUUUUGGGUCCCUCGUCCUGCCCCGUGCUGGGAUUUGUGUUUGGAUCCGACCAUUCCCAUGGGAUAUUCCAGCCUUUGGCUGCCUUUUCCUUGGGAUAUUCCAGCCUUUGGCUGCCUUUUCCUUGGGAUAUUCCAGCCUUUGGCUGCCUUUUCCUUGGGAAGAGGUGUAAAAACCUGAUUCUGGAUUUUUUUUUGUUUUCCCUCUGAUUCCAGAAGGGAAUUCCCUGGAAAUAGGGACACGUGUUUG